rnacentral:rRNA from 1 species
AGGCCUACCGGAGGGUGGUCUUGGAACCAGAAUAUGCCUGGACUCACGCCCUUUGCUUACACCAAAGAGAUAUUACUAAAUUAUUCUGAUACUGUAAAUUUAGCCUUCCUUCCAAAUCACCCAAUUAUAUAAAAUAAAGCAUUUAAAUAUGUUAGUAUGAGUGACAGAAAACCUAUAAGCGCAAUAAAUAUAGUACUGCAAAGGAAUAAUGAAAGAGAAAUUAAAUAAACCAUAAAAGUACAAUAAAGCAAAGAUAACCACUUAUACCUUUUGCAUAAUGGUCUAGCAAGUUUUACCCAACAAAAAUACUUAAGCCGGAUACCCCGAAACCAAACGAGCUACCUAAGGGCAAUCAUAACAAAUCCUUCUCUGUAGCAAAAGAGAAUGAUAGACCUCUAGGUAGAGGCGAAAAACCAAACGAGCUUGGAGAUAACUGGUUGCUUGGGAAUGAAUUAAGUUCAACUAAAAGCAAAUUUACCCACAAGGAGACACUAAUGCUUUUAAUAUAAUAAAUUAGGGUACAGCCUAUUUUAUAAAGGAAACAGCCUACAUAUAUGAAUAAAGAUUAUAAUUAACAUAAUAACUAAUUAGGCCUGAGAGCAGCCAUCAAAAAUAGCGUCACAGCUUAAUCAUAAAUUAAAAAUAUUAAAAUAAAUUAUCUAUAAUCAAAUAAACAACCAAGUCAAUCUAUAUAUAGAACCACACUACUAGAAUAAGUAAUAAGGAAUACCUCAGAAUAUGCAUGUAAAUCUAAAUGAACCUAUCACCGAUAAUUAACGGAAAGAAAUUAUUUAACAAGAACUUAAAUCACAUAUACCGUUAACCCAACACAGGCAUAUAAUAGAAAGACUCAAGGCCUAAGAAGGAACUCGGCAAACCCAGGCUCCGCCUGUUUACCAAAAACAUCGCCUUUUGAUAAAUUAAUAUAAAAGGUCCUGCCUGCCCAGUGAUAUUAUUUUAACGGCCGCGGUAUUAUAACCGUGCAAAGGUAGCAUAAUCACUUGUCUUUUAAAUUAAGACCAGUAUGAAUGGCAAGACGAGAGCCUAACUGUCUCCUUAAGCUAGUCAAUGAAAUUGAUCUUCCCGUGCAGAAGCGAGAAUAUAAAUAUAAGACGAGAAGACCCUGUGGAGCUUAAAAAUAAGAUUAUAUAGUAAUAUUAUAAUAUUAAAUUUAGGUUGGGGCGACCAUGAGGUAAAACAUAACCCUCAAGACAAUAACCAGAAGGACACUUCAAACAAAGUAAAACUUAUAUAUUGACCCAAUAAUGAUCAACGAACCAAGUUACCCCAGGGAUAAC